ensembl:snRNA U5 U5 spliceosomal RNA
CAGCUCGAGUUUCUCUUCAUUGUCGGUUAUAUCUUUGGCCUUUUUACUAACGAUUUCCGUGGAGGGGAGCUUUUGCGAGUGACCUGCAUUUUUUUGGGGGCUCUGCUCACAGCAGAGCU